UACAGAGGGUGCAAGCGUUGCUCGGAUUUACUGGGCGUAAAGCGUGCGCAGACGGCUUGGUAAGUGGGACGUGAAAGCCUGGAGCUCAACUCCAGAACUGCGUUCCAGACUGCCCGGCUUGAGUAUGAGAGAGGGAAGUGGAAUUCCUGGUGUAGAGGUGAAAUUCGUAGAUAUCAGGAGGAACACCAGCGGCGAAGGCGGCUUCCUGGCUCAUUACUGACGUUCAGGCACGAAAGCGUGGGGAGCAAACAGG
rnacentral:rRNA from 1 species